ensembl:snoRNA SNORD58 Small nucleolar RNA SNORD58
UUGCUGUGAUGACAUCUUAGGACACCUUUGGAUUUCACAUGAAAAAAUCUGCAAAUUUACUGAGCCAC